rnacentral:lncRNA from 1 species
GCCUCCGCUGCUGCUGCUGCUGCUGCGGCAGCUGCUUCUGCUGUGGCCUCCUCCAACGCUACUGUUAAUGCUGUGGUGGCUGCUGCUGUCACUGCUGCUUUCGCAGCGGUUACUGCUACUGCUGACCACAAAGGCAGUGAACCAACUCCUCAAAGGCACAGUGGGGCUACUAAUGACAAGGAUUUCACACUUAAGGCAAAAGAAGAACAAGAUAAGAGAGAACCUGCCACACAUUUGAUGAAAAUGAACAGAAGUGAAAAUAAAGGUUGUUUUCCGGGAGUUUCCAUGGCAACGUUUGAGCAGUGUGCUGCAGACACAAGUGCUGUGCUACCGGUGAAGCAGAGCUGUGCUCGCCAACUCCAUCAGGACGGACAAAGCCCUGCAAAGAGCACAUCUAAAGAAAAGCACGAGGCCAAGAAGCAAAUCAAUGGUGUGGAAGGCCUGGAAG